rnacentral:rRNA from 1 species
UGCAAGUCGAACGGGAAUCUUCGGAUUCUAGUGGCGGACGGGUGAGUAACGCGUGAGAAACUGCCUUGAGGACGGGGACAACAGUUGGAAACGACUGCUAAUACCCGAUAAGCCUAACGGUCAAAGAUUUAUCGCCUCAGGAUGUGCUCGCGUUGGAUUAGCUAGUAGGUAGGGUAAAAGCCUACCUAGGCGACGAUCCAUAGCUGGUCUGAGAGGAUGAGCAGCCACACUGGGACUGAGACACGGCCCAGACUCCUACGGGAGGCAGCAGUGGGGAAUUUUCCGCAAUGGGCGCAAGCCUGACGGAGCAAUACCGCGUGAGGGAGGAAGGCUCUUGGGUCGUAAACCUCUUUUCUCAAGGAAGAUAAUGACGGUACUUGAGGAAUCAGCAUCGGCUAACUCCGUGCCAGCAGCCGCGGUAAUACGGAGGAUGCAAGCGUUAUCCGGAAUGAUUGGGCGUAAAGAGUCCGUAGGUGGUCAAUCGUGUCCGCGGUUAAAGAGUGGAGCUCAACUCCGUAGAGGCCGUGGAAACUGGUAGACUAGAGGCAAGUAGGGGUAGAGGGAAUUCCCAGUGUAGCGGUGAAAUGCGUAGAGAUUGGGAAGAACACCGGUGGCGAAAGCGCUCUACUGGACUUGAACUGACACUGAGGGACGAAAGCUAGGGGAGCGAAAGGGAUUAGAUACCCCUGUAGUCCUAGCCGUAAACGAUGGAUACUAGGUGUGGCUUGUAUCGACCCGAGCCGUGCCGAAGCUAACGCGUUAAGUAUCCCGCCUGGGGAGUACGCACGCAAGUGUGAAACUCAAAGGAAUUGACGGGGGCCCGCACAAGCGGUGGAUAUGUGGUUUAAUUCAUGCACGCGAAGAACCUUACCAGGGCUUGAC